CGUCUAUAUACGUAUAGCAUAUCAAUAAGCGGAGGAAAAGAAACUAACUAGGAUUCCCUUAGUAACGGCGAGUGAAGCGGGAAGAGCUCAAAUUUGAAUCUUCAAGGUUCUACCUUGACGAAUUGUAGUUUAAAGAAGUGUUUUCUGUUGGAGUUUUGGUAAAAGUUCUUUGGAAUAGGGACAUCAUAGAGGGUGAGAAUCCCGUAUUUGACCAUUAUUUCCAACUUUGUGAUACACUUUCAAAGAGUCGGAUUGUUUGGGAAUGCAGUCCAAAAUGGGUGGUAAAUUUCAUCUAAAGCUAAAUACUGGCGAGAGACCGAUAGCGAACAAGUACCGUGAGGGAAAGAUGAAAAGAACUUUGAAAAGAGAGUUAAACAGUACGUGAAAUUGUCAAAAGGGAAGCGUUUGACACCAUGUGUUGUUUUCUCGAAAAUCAAUUAAAAAUGGCCUGGAUUUUGUGUUGUAUUGACUUUAUCAGCUUUCUGCACUCUUUUUCCUGUCUUUUUUAAUGCACUUUUCGUUUAACAAGUCAACAUCAAUUUCUUUUGUUGUAAAAGGGUCAUUGGAAGGUGGCUUUCUUUUCGGAGAAAGUGUUUAUAGCCUUUGGCCUCUGCAAUCGGAGAGAUUGAGGUCUGCAGCGUAGAUCCUUCGGGGUUAGAUACAUUUGUGCUAAGUUAUAGCCUUUCAUAGACAACUUGUUGACUAUGAUCAGUCAUGUAGCUUACUCGCUUAUGCUAUUUUACCUACGCUUAGGAUGUUGACGAUCAGCUGAGCGCG
rnacentral:rRNA from 1 species